rnacentral:rRNA from 1 species
AACGAACGCUGGCGGCAUGCCUAACACAUGCAAGUCGAACGAGACCUUCGGGUCUAGUGGCGCACGGGUGCGUAACGCGUGGGAACCUGCCCUUAGGUUCGGAAUAACUCCCCGAAAGGGGUGCUACUACCGGAUAAUGUCUUCGGACCAAAGAUUUAUCGCCUUUGGAUGGUCCCGCGUUGGAUUAGCUAGUUGGUAGGGUAAAAGCCUACCAAGGCGACGAUCCAUAGCUGGUCUGAGAGGAUGAUCAGCCACACUGGGACUGAGACACGGCCCAGACUCCUACGGGAGGCAGCAGUGGGGAAUAUUGGACAAUGGGCGAAAGCCUGAUCCAGCAAUGCCGCGUGAGUGAUGAAGGCCUUAGGGUUGUAAAGCUCUUUUACCCGGGAUGAUAAUGACAGUACCGGGAGAAUAAGCUCCGGCUAACUCCGUG